GAGACAGCAGCAGCCACGGGAAUACGAAGGGUGCAAGCGUUACUCGGAAUUACUGGGCGUAAAGCGUGCGUAGGUGGUGGUUUAAGUCUGCUGUGAAAGCCCUGGGCUCAACCUGGGAAUUGCAGUGGAUACUGGAUCACUAGAGUGUGGUAGAGGGAUGCGGAAUUUCUGGUGUAGCAGUGAAAUGCGUAGAGAUCAGAAGGAACAUCCGUGGCGAAGGCGGCAUCCUGGGCCAACACUGACACUGAGGCACGAAAGCGUGGGGAGCAAACAGGAUUAGAUACCCCUGUAGUCCCUGUCUCUUAUAC
rnacentral:rRNA from 1 species